GACGAACGCUGGCGGCGUGCUUAACACAUGCAAGUCGAACGGAAAGGCCCUGCUUUUGUGGGGUGCUCGAGUGGCGAACGGGUGAGUAACACGUGAGUAACCUGCCCUUGACUUUGGGAUAACUUCAGGAAACUGGGGCUAAUACCGGAUAGGAGCUCCUGCUGCAUGGUGGGGGUUGGAAAGUUUCGGCGGUUGGGGAUGGACUCGCGGCUUAUCAGCUUGUUGGUGGGGUAGUGGCUUACCAUGGCUUUGACGGGUAGCCGGCCUGAGAGGUUGACCGGCCACAUUGGGACUGAGAUACGGCCCAGACUCCUACGGGAGGCAGCAGUGGGGAAUAUUGCACAAUGGGCGGAAGCCUGAUGCAGCAACGCCGCGUGCGGGAUGACGGCCUUCGGGUUGUAAACCGCUUUCGCCUGUGACGAAGCGUGAGUGACGGUAAUGGGUAAAGAAGCACCGGCUAACUACGUG
rnacentral:rRNA from 1 species